AAACAGGCAGGUGCUUCGCUCAAGUCUAAUUUGCAUUGUCUAUUCCUGUUUCCUUUUCAAUAACUCUAUUCCCCCCUCCCCAAAUGAUAUUUUCUGCCUUACCUUUGGAGACCAUUAGAAUCUUGAUUCUGGCUCAUUAAGUGUGAGAGGCUCACAUGAGGCAAUUAUGAAAAUCAAACUGUCAGCUUUGCAUUUCUUGUAAGUAAACCAAAAAUAUGUUCUAAUGGGAGCGAGAAAGGUAAAAGAGGACCCCUCGGACAUUUUAAUAUAAAGAUAUUUGUGAUCUUUAAAAUCCUUGCUGUUGUAGAAUAUGCUUCCAUGGCAAACACGUGUCAUGGGAACCAAACUUCUAAGCCAAAAUUUUGCCACUGACUUUCAGAAAUUAUAAGUAAAUGACCACAUAUCUAUGGGACUCAGAGAACAGACUAAACAAGGUUUAGCAGGACAAUACACAUUUUAUUUAUGUAUCCGUGAAUAUAUAAUUCAUUGUUAGAGGUAAUUAUUCCUAGGCGAGAGAGGAAGACCUCUAUAAUCCGUAAAACCUACAUGGGAAAACCAAGCCAUAAACCAAACCAGGGCUGAUAGCCAUUAAAUCUCCAUCACAAGUUACAACUGUUGUAGUUGUACUGGUUCUUGUUGUUAACAAAUAUGUUACCAACCCUUUACAAUUUGCAGUGAACUUUCACAUAGCCGAUUCCCGCGAACUCAGAUAAAAGCUUGUUUGAAAGGAACCCACGCUUGCAAUUUAAGGACCAAGAAUGUUCUCAUUAACAGCCAGCUUAUCACAUCUGCAUCUAAAAAAAAAAUUAAGCAUUUUCUAUUUCUAAAACUGCAGGCACAAUCCAGUGCUGGGUAACCUGGUUAUUCUCUUUUGCUGAUCGAAACAGAGAAACAGUCCUAAUCCGACAGAAUGGACUAUUCACAGGGGAGAGAAAAUAUGCACAAGCUAAAUAGUGGAUUCUCAUUGAAGGCCUAUUUACUGCAUGCCAGGUUAAAGAAAGAAGUCAAAAAAUAAUGAGGUGAAGCAGAGAAUCUUUAAGUUGACAUCUGCAUUUGCUUUGAUAAGAUAAAGGUAUGAUAAAGAAGACUGCCUCCCAAGACACCAAAGCUGGUAUGAAUACCUUCCUCCUCAAAUGGUAUAAAACAAAAGGUGGAAAUAUUCUUCUGUAAAAUGUGAGUACAUUCUUGAGAAUUCUACCUUAUCCAUAGAGGAGAUUUUUAAGGUAAGUGAAAUUGCUCUGAACCGACAAUAUGAUUCUAUGCUUGACUGAACAUGGGACAGGAAGUAUGCUACAUGAAAAUAGCUUAAUAUUCAUUUACUCCUGAUGUUAACAUAAUUCAAGUACAGAGAUGGGUGGAGAGAGUAGCAUCUGUACCAGGCCUUACAUCACCCUUCUUCAUAUGUCUAAGAUGUGCAGAAAUUGCCUUAGAAUCAUCUGGAGAUGCUUGUUAAAAAUAGAGAUUUUAGGGCACCACUCACUGUAGACCUCAUAAACCUCCAUUCUUUAAAGAAAUUGAUCCCGGAAAAUUGACUUUUGCCAAAACUUCCAUAUGACUUCCAUGUAAAGCCAAGUAAAAGGACAGGUAGAUCAUGAGAAAUGCAAAAAGUCAUCACCAUCAGUGAAAAUAGCACCAGAGCAUUUCCCACUGGGCAAUAAGGUGAAGGGUGGGCUAUCAUUCCCCCUGAGAAGCUUCUUUCUCUCCCUACUUUGUACUUCUCUCUCAGCUGACAACAGUAUCAAAGCCUGCAUCAUUGGUCAUCUCAAACUGAGGAACAGCAAUCCAAAAAACCAAGUUUAUUUGGGAGAUACAAGACAGAAAAACUGUCAUCCAAAUAAUUGUCAAUAAAAAUCACCAUUAGAGUAUUUGAAAAAAAAUGAGCCAGCUCUAUCAUGGAACAAAAAUCAUUUUCUACAAAUUCAGUGUUGUGUUUCGGUGUUUCUGUGGGUCAGUGUUGCAGAGGAGUAAAACUGAAAUAGUGUGGAGUUUGAGUGUUUAAGGGCAGAAGUGUCCAGAAAAUUCCCUCAGUGAAAGAAGGCAAUUUAGGUCAGGAGUUCUCUCCAUCCUUCACCCUCACAGGCCCUUUCCAGUACCUUGUGACAUUGUAGCAGCUAUGUAAGGAUGUCUCUACAACAUGGCACCUUCCAGGUUCUGUUCUCUUUGUCCCUCACUUGAUUUUCAUUACCACUGGCCCGAGCCAAGCCUUCCACAUGAAGCAUCUCAUCAGACCAGUCAGUCAGAAUCCAUCUCUGCUGCUCGUGUUGACAGCCAGCUGAUCCCACGUGGAGCCCAGCCAUUGUUCCCUCCCAGGGAUUUCAGGAUCCAAUUCACUGGCUUGUCUAAAAGUUCUUUUUUUUUCCACAGAUCUGGCUCCAGACCUCAAAACAUAUCAUGAAAAAAUUCAGUCUCCUUGACUACUGACAACAAUGAAUCAACUGUCUAUCUAGCUGUCAGAAUGAUGGUGUGUUUAGCUAUCUAAAUAAUUGAGCAAGGAGAGAAGGGGGGGGGGCGCUGUGGAGCUAAGUAGAAUCUGAAACUAACCACACUUAAUAAUUCUGGAAACGGUGGAUUCCUAUCUACGAAUACAGCCCACUGGGCAGUUUUUACAGAAUCCUCAAAUCCAAUUGCUUUUUGAAAGAUAGUCUCCACUGUCUUCAGUGAAUCAAAUGAAUGAUCCAGUCUUUAAAACAAACAAACAAACAAAAAACAAAAUAAACAACAACAACAACAACAACAACAACCACAAAACAGUAAUUUAUCAUUUCCUUUGAAGUGAAGGUUCUAGACAUGGCCCUAUCUCAGGGAACAUGGACUGAAGACUUACAUACAAGGGCACUGGGAUUAUGAAUUUCCACUGGCCUAUCACAGUCUGUAUUUUCUCUUCAUUAUCUAUCUGUUCACCCACUCUCCAAACUUGGAUUUCAGCUCUGUCAGGAUUGUGGCCUGUGGUUUGACCUGUCUUCACCAGGGAGUUAAAAUGAGUUUGCUACUGAUUCACGGGAGCAGCUAGAUCCCUGGGGCCACUAAUGAUGGAGCCAGCAAAGCUUCCUGCCAAUCACUCGAAAUGCUUCCCGUCAGAACCACCCUCAAAAUAUUGACAGGUGUGGCCUGCAGAAGGACCUUAUCGCUUAUCAGAUAGUGGGGAAAGUUGCAGUUAUCCUUGAAGCCAGAGGAAGGCGGUUGGGUUAGUCACAGAAGGCUUUGUGUACUUUCCUUUCCUCCGGGACCAAAGCAAAGGUGCGGAGACUAUGGAUUGAUUUGGGACACCAUCUAGUGAGAGAUUUGAGGAAGUGCAGGAACACAGGAAGAAAAACUCCCAAGCCAAAUUAUGUUUCAAUUGCUUAAGUGUUUUCUUUCAGACUACUUUAAGUGGCCCCACAGUGAACUGUGCUGUGAUUUUUUUUUUUCUAAAUUAGGGAAAAAACAAAACAGAAUGACCAGUGACUCCAGCACAGACCGGAUUUGUCUGAUUAUCCCCCCUGCCUCUUGAGAAAGAAGGGACAAUAUCCCCUCUAAGCCCUUGCCCACCAUCCACGGUAAGGACAUAAGAAAUGCUCCCGCCGAAUCAGUUCAAUCGAUAGUCUACUUCUGCUAGGAAGUCAGCAUCUGGGAAUGGCACCAGAGGGUCUGGGAAGAAUGAUGCCAGGGCCCCAGAUUUUCAAACACACAUCUAUCCACUGCAGUGUUUUUCAGUUAAGCUGUAUAUAUGUCAGAGGCUUUAGCUAUCAAAAAAUUAAGUUUUUUUUUCUAAAACUCAAUAGCUUUUAUCACCAGAAAAUCAGUACCAACAGUACCUAUUUCACAGUGUGCUGCACACCAAAAGCUCUCCAUAAAUAUAACAUUGUUCAAUAACUAAAAUUGGCAGCUAGGAUUUUUAACUGGUGAAGAAAGCUGAAUAUAAUUCAACGAUUGCAUUCUGAGUUCUUCUAUAUAACACCAUACUCUUGGUGUGGAAUAAAUGUUCUGUGAUUGCCUCUAAACUUCCCAUGGGCCUGGGGGAGGAGAAAUAAAGCAAAAUGUCAGCAAACCUCCCCAGUUCAAUAUUGUGGUCCUUUUUACUAUAACUAGCAACUGUUUCUAACAAAUCCUCACCCAUCUUACUCUGCCUUUCAGAGAACCCCACUUUACCAUUCUCGAUUGGAGAAUGAUUUUUCUAGCUGUUGCUCUGAAACUCCAUGGUCAGAUUGCCAUUGGGACAUGACUGUUUCAAUGAGUAACCAACUCUAGCUGCUCUCCGUGGAAACAAAUGCUGCACUUAUGCUCCUUGUGUUGCUGGGUUUUCCUUUCUAGUUGAAGAAGGCCUGCCUCCAAGAGGUCUCUGAGCCUCAAUGAGAGGCCACUGGGAAGAUGCUGACCUUCCCUCCGAACCGUGGCCUUGGUCUUCUCUCUCCAAUCAGAAGAAAAGAAGAGUGUCCCUCUCACUUUCCCCUUCCCAAAUCUUCCACUGUUUGACAAAUGGCUAGGUAGCUAUUAGUAUCUGAAUCCAGCCAACUGCCUAAACCAUGCUUAUUUUUAGCAACAGGUGACUCUUGGGACAUUUCUUCAAGAAGCCAACACUUGCAGUCAAUUAGAAUUAACUUUGAACUUGGAGAAUAGAGGAGUUUUCCAGCACUGCAA